CCCUUAGAUGUCCUGGGCUGCACGCGCGCUACACUGAUGUGUCCAGUAAGCACCUAACCUCUUCCGAAAGGAACGGGUAACCUUUGCAAAGCACAUCGUGAUGGGGAUAGAUUAUUGCAAUUAUUAGUCCUGAACGAGGAAUUCCUAGUAAGCACAAGUCAUCAGCUUGUGUUGAUUACGUCCCUGCCCUUUGUACACACCGCCCGUCGCUCCUACCGAUUGAAUGUUCCGGUGAGCUCUUCGGACUGCGCGGUCUGCAGUUUCUGCGUUCCGUGCGGAAAGUUGCGCAAACCUUAACAUUUAGAGGAAGGAGAAGUCGUAACA
rnacentral:rRNA from 1 species